UGAAUUCCAUUAUAUAAUCAACGCAUUCAUCUUUGAUGUAUUCCUAGAGAAUAUAUGCAUUGAUUGCAGAUAACUGAAGGUUUUUGUAUUCCACCCACUGUGCCGAGGAAUAAGUGCAAAGAGGUCAUCUAGGCUAUCACUUAUGGAUGAAGCAGAUAUGCCAUACAGUUCAGACGACAGUAUCGAAAGCUCCAGCUGGAAGAAAGAUAUUGAUAGUGACUUGAUGGAAAGGUUUAUUCGAGAUAUGGUAUUCUCCAAUAUGAAAGCCAAGAAUCAUGAACAGUCGUAUUACGAUGAAGAGAAAUGAAAACUUAAAGAAAAAUAUGUAUGAAAAAGUAUCCCAUAUCCUGCGAUAUAAAAUGUAGAAGACGAAAAGAAAAGCUCUUUUUCGAAGCAUAUCAAAAAUAUUAGCAUAUGUAUAUUUCAGUCGCUAAUAACAAAAUAAAAUAUGAAUUUUGGAUCUUCAAAAUAAGUAAUAGAUAUAUUUUAAUUUUUUUACUUUAGUAAUAAUUGGAUAAAAUAAACGUAUGUAAUUACCA